UACGUAGGGUGCAAGCGUUAAUCGGAAUUACUGGGCGUAAAGCGUGCGCAGGCGGUUAUGCAAGGCAGAUGUGAAAUCCCCGGGCUCAACCUGGGAACUGCAUUUGUGACUGCAUGGCUGGAGUGCGGCAGAGGGGGAUGGAAUUCCGCGUGUAGCAGUGAAAUGCGUAGAUAUGCGGAGGAACACCGAUGGCGAAGGCAGCCCCCUGGGCUAACACUGACGCUCAGGCACGAAAGCGUGGGGAGCAAACAGG
rnacentral:rRNA from 1 species